rnacentral:rRNA from 1 species
GAUGAACGCUGGCGGCGUGCCUAAUACAUGCAAGUCGAGCGAAUGGAUUAAGAGCUUGCUCUUAUGAAGUUAGCGGCGGACGGGUGAGUAACACGUGGGUAACCUGCCCAUAAGACUAGGAUAACUCCGGGAAACCGGGGCUAAUACCGGAUAACAUUUUGAACCGCAUGGUUCGAAAUUGAAAGGCGGCUUCGGCUGUCACUUAUGGAUGGACCCGCGUCGCAUUAGCUAGUUGGUGAGGUAACGGCUCACCAAGGCAACGAUGCGUAGCCGACCUGAGAGGGUGAUCGGCCACACUGGGACUGAGACACGGCCCAGACUCCUACGGGAGGCAGCAGUAGGGAAUCUUCCGCAAUGGACGAAAGUCUGACGGAGCAACGCCGCGUGAGUGAUGAAGGCUUUCGGGUCGUAAAACUCUGUUGUUAGGGAAGAACAAGUACAAGUUGAAUAAGCUGCCACCUUAACGGUACCUAACCAGAAAGCCACGGCUAACUACGUGCCAGCCGCCGCGUAA